rnacentral:rRNA from 1 species
UACGGAGGAUCCAAGCGUUAUCCGGAUUUAUUGGGUUUAAAGGGUGCGUAGGUGGCUUAUUAAGUCAGGGGUGAAAGACGGUAGCUCAACUAUCGCAGUGCCCUUGAUACUGAUGGGCUUGAAUGAACUAGAGGUAGGCGGAAUGUGACAAGUAGCGGUGAAAUGCAUAGAUAUGUCACAGAACACCAAUUGCGAAGGCAGCUUACUAUGGUUUGAUUGACACUGAGGCACGAAAGCGUGGGGAUCAAACAGG